AAGAAAAGUUAGAAAAUACUUGAUUAGAUUUUAUUUGAAAUCUAAGAUCAGUAGCCUUUUGGUUUAAAUGCAGGGGCUUUCAGUUAUCUUUUGGGUCUCGUCUCAAAUCUGAUGAAAGCUAUGGAAAUUGUCUCCAAAAAGUGUCAUUGAGAUCUAUCAUUUUUGCAUAAUUUUUUUGGGGGGGUCACAGAUUCCCUAAAAUUUGUCGAUGAUCCCCUUCUUUCACGUUUUCCUGGGGCCCAUGGGUCAACUUGGAAAACUUCUGUGUUAUUACAGAUGCCAUUCUCUAAAUAUUGGCUGAACUUUGUUCCUUGGAAUUUCUCGAGGCCUGCAAAUAUAAACAAAUCUUUCAUUAAUAGCAUAACUACAGCAGGGUUUGUGUUUAGGGAAAUGUACAAUUUAGAAGUAGAAAGAUAUGGAAAUACAGGUUGGAUCAGGGCUGUAGUCAGAGCUCACACUUACUUGCUUGAGGAUGCUUGAGGAUGGUUUCCAAGUCUUAUUGCUCAUCAAAACCUCAUCCUGCAGGAAAGUUCUGAGAAGGUUAGUAAGCCGUCCAUGGCUUUAUAGCCCAAAAGGAGGGAAGCUAGCAUUUGAACCCCAGAAGUCUGGUCCCAGAGCCUAUGUUCUUCAUUAUGACAUGACAGAUGUCUCUAGGCUGGUUCAAAGCACAUGUUUUGAAAGCCAGCACUGCUUCUGUGGCCCAGGCCCAGUUCCCAACAUGGAACCACACCACUCCUCUGUUAAUAGCCAUGUGGUGAUGGCUUACAUCAAAGAACUGGAAGGACUUACAACUAUACACAACUAGGAUACAAUGAGAAGAUGGCUGUCUGUAAACCAGGAUCUGUCAGGAUCUUGAUCUUGGACUUCCCGGCUUCAGAACUGAAGAAGCAAACACUGUCCCUGUCAAAUGAAAAAUGAGGCAGAAUUGGUGACGUGC
rnacentral:lncRNA from 1 species